UACGAAGGGGGCUAGCGUUGCUCGGAAUCACUGGGCGUAAAGGGUGCGUAGGCGGGUCUUAAGUCAGGGGUGAAAUCCUGGAGCUCAACUCCAGAACUGCCUUCGAUACUGGCGAUCUCGAGUUCGGGAGAGGUGAGUGGAACUGCGAGUGUAGAGGUGAAAUUCGUAGAUAUUCGCAAGAACACCAGUGGCGAAGGCGGCUCACUGGCCCGAUACUGACGCUGAGGCACGAAAGCGUGGGGAGCAAACAGGG
rnacentral:rRNA from 1 species